rnacentral:rRNA from 1 species
UACGGGGGGAGCAAGCGUUGUUCGGAUUUACUGGGCGUAAAGGGCGCGUAGGCGGCCACCGCAAGUCGACUGUGAAAUCUCCGGGCUUAACCCGGAAAGGUCAGCCGAUACUGCGGGGCUAGAGUGCAGAAGGGGCAACUGGAAUUCUCGGUGUAGCGGUGAAAUGCGUAGAGAUCGGGAGGAACACCAGUGGCGAAGGCGGCUCGCUGGGCCGGACCUGACGCUGAGACGCGAAGGCGUGGGGAGCGAACGGG